AAUGAACGUUGGCGGCAUGGAUUAGGCAUGCAAGUCGAGCGAGAAGUGUAGCAAUACACGGAAAGCGGCGGAAGGGAGAGUAAUACGUGGGAAUCUGCCCUUAGACCUGGGAUAGCAGCGGGAAACUGCUGGUAAUACCAGAUAAUGUCUAUGGACCGAAGGUGUGAUUCCGUCUAGGGAUGAGCCCACGUCCUAUUAGCUAGUUGGUAGGGUAAUGGCCUACCAAGGCGAUGAUGGGUAGGGUGUGUGAGAGCAUGACCCGCCUCACUGGGACUGAGACACUGCCCAGACACCUACGGGUGGCUGCAGUCGAGAAUCUUCGGCAAUGGGCGCAAGCCUGACCGAGCGAUGCCGCGUGCGGGAUGAAGGCCUUCGGGUUGUAAACCGCUGUCGAGGGGGAGCAACUUCCAUAGAGUUAUCUUUAUGGAUUGAGUGAUCCCUGGAGGAAGGACGGGCUAAGUUCGUGCCAGCCGCCGCCGUAACAC
rnacentral:rRNA from 1 species